rnacentral:rRNA from 1 species
AACGAACGCUGGCGGCGUGCCUAACACAUGCAAGUCGAACGGAAUUAGAGAGCUUGCUCUUUAAUUUAGUGGCGCACGGGUGAGUAACGCGUAGAUAAUCUGCCUGACGAUCUGGGAUAACACUUCGAAAGAGGUGCUAAUACCGGAUAAGCCUACGGGUUCUUUGGAAUCUGCGGGAAAAGGGGGGGACCUUCGGGCCUUCUGUCGUCAGAUGAGUCUGCGUACCAUUAGCUGGUUGGUAGGGUAAAGGCCUACCAAGGCGACGAUGGUUAGCUAGUCUUGGAGGAUGAUCAGCCACACUGGAACUGAGACACGGUCCAGACUCCUACGGGAGGCAGCAGUGGGGAAUUUUGCGAAAUGGGCGAAAGCCUGACGCAGCAACGCCGCGUGAGUGAUGAAGGCUUUCGGGUCGUAAAGCUCUGUCAAUGGGAAAGAAGUGUAUUUGGGCUAAUAUCCUUAAUACUUGACGGUACCCAUAAAGGAAGCACCGGCUAACUCCGUGCCAGCAGCCGCAGUAAGAC